GAUGAACGCUGGCGGCGUGCCUAAUACAUGCAAGUCGAGCGAACGGACGAGAAGCUUGCUUCUCUGAUGUUAGCGGCGGACGGGUGAGUAACACGUGGAUAACCUACCUAUAAGACUGGGAUAACUUCGGGAAACCGGAGCUAAUACCGGAUAAUAUUUUGAACCGCAUGGUUCAAAAGUGAAAGACGGUCUUGCCGUCACUUAUAGAUGGAUCCGCGCUGCAUUAGCUAGUUGGUAAGGUAACGGCUUACCAAGACAACGAUGCAUAGCCGACCUGAGAGGGUGAUCGGCCACACUGGAACUGAGACACGGUCCAGACUCCUACGGGAGGCAGCAGUAGGGAAUCUUCCGCAAUGGGCGAAAGCCUGACGGAGCAACGCCGCGUGAGUGAUGAAGGUCUUCGGAUCGUAAAACUCUGUUAUUAGGGAAGAACAUAUGUGUAAGUAACUGUGCACAUCUUGACGGUACCUAAUCAGAAAGCCACGGCUAACUACGUG
rnacentral:rRNA from 1 species